CAGACCCUACUGAUUAUUUGGUGUGCCUUUUACAAGAAAAAAAUCACCUCUACUCCGUGAAAGCAGUAAUUUCCUGACGCAAGGUUGGUCCCAUAUUCAGAUGAAGACUCUCGGGGAUCCUCUGCAGAUCUCUCAAAUUCUCUGAAGCUCCCUCUUUUCAGUGGCAUCUGAUUGGACAAAGGAGUAAUGGUGUGCAUCUGCUGUUCCUUGUUGCCCCAUUCACACGUGGGCUCUACAUGCUCCAGGAGGACACAAUUCCAGAGGAGAAAUGAUGAGGGAGGCUUCAGUGAGACUCAGCGUGAGCUCAACAUAAGCUUUUAUGAGAUUCAUCCAUGUUGUUAUGUGUGGCAGCAGCUCAUUUCUUCCUAUGGUUGAGCAGCAUUUCACUGUGUGACUACCAUUCCUCUGUUGACGGACGUUUGUAUUAUGUCAAGUGUAGAGCU